GAUGAACGCUGGCGGCGUGCCUAAUACAUGCAAGUCGAGCGAACAGACGAGGAGCUUGCUCCUCUGACGUUAGCGGCGGACGGGUGAGUAACACGUGGAUAACCUACCUAUAAUACUGGGAUAACUUCGGGAAACCGGAGCUAAUACCGGAUAAUAUAUUGAACCGCAUGGAGCAAUAGUUAAAGACGGUUUUGCUGUUACUUAUAGAUGGAGCCGCGUCGCAUUAGCUAGUUGGUAAGGUAACGGCUUACCAAGGCGACGAUGCGUAGCCGACCUGAGAGGGUGAUCAGCCACACUGGAACUGAGACACGGUCCAGACUCCUACGGGAGGCAGCAGUGGGGAAUAUUCCGCAAUGGGCGCAAGCCUGACGGAGCAACGCCGCGUGAGUGAUGAAGGUCUUCGGAUCGUAAAACUCUGUUAUUAGGAAAGAACAAAUGUGUAAGUAACUCUGCACGUCUUGACGGUACCUAAUCAAAAAGCCACGGCUAACUUCGUG
rnacentral:rRNA from 1 species